UAGGGAAUCUUCGGCAAUGGGGGGAACCCUGACCGAGCAACGCCGCGUGAGUGAAGAAGGUUUUCGGAUCGUAAAGCUCUGUUGUUAAGGAAGAACGAGUGUGAGAAUGGAAAGUUCAUACUGUGACGGUACUUAACCAGAAAGGGACGGCUAACUACGUGCCAGCAGCCGCGGUAAUACGUAGGUCCCGAGCGUUGUCCGGAUUUAUUCGGCGUAAAGCGAGCGCAGGCGGUUAGAUAAGUCUGAAGUUAAAGGCAGUGGCUCAACCAUUGUAGGCUUUGGAAACUGAUUAACUUGAGUGCAGAAGGGGAGAGUGGAAUUCCAUGUGUAGCGGUGAAAUGCGUAGAUAUAUGGAGGAACACCGGUGGCGAAAGCGGCUCUCUGGGCUGUAACUGACGCUGAGGCUCGAAAGCGUGGGGAGCGAACAGG
rnacentral:rRNA from 1 species